rnacentral:rRNA from 1 species
GAUGAACGCUGGCGGCGUGCCUAAUACAUGCAAGUCGAGCGAACAGACGAGGCGCUUGCUCCUCUGACGUUAGCGGCGGACGGGUGAGUAACACGUGGAUAACCUACCUAUAAGACUGGGAUAACUUCGGGAAACCGGAGCUAAUACCGGAUAAUAUAUUGAACCGCAUGGUUCAAUAGUGAAAGACGGUUUUGCUGUCACUUAUAGCUGGAUCCGCGCCGCAUUAGCUAGUUGGUAAGGUAACGGCUUACCAAGGCAACGAUGCGUAGCCGACCUGAGAGGGUGAUCGGCCACACGGGAGCGGGGACACGGUCCAUACUCCUGCGGGAGGCAGCAGUAGGGAAUCGGCCGCAAUGGUCGAAAGCAUGACGGAGCAACGGCGCGUGAGUUAUGAAGGUCUUCGGAGCGGAAAACUCUGUUAUGAGGGAAGAACAAAUGUGUAAGUAACUAUGCACGUCGUGACGGUACCUAAUCAGAAAGCCACGGCUAACUACGUG